rnacentral:sRNA from 1 species
GUGUUAGACGUGUCAGAAAAUAUUUUAUAUGAAAAAAAUAGAAAUAUUCGAAGAUUUAAUUGAAUAAUUUUUAAGGAGAUAAAAGGAUCACGAGCAUACCACAUCAAUUUAUUUUUAAAUUUCGGACGACGAAAUUAAUUUUUGAACUAAUUUUUAUUUUCCUGUUGUUUGGAUCGCCGAUUCCUCUGUGAAUCGGCGCUGUCCACGAACAAAAGAAGUGGAAAACUCCAAUCUCAAAUUAUCUUUAUUGGUCCCAAAUUUCCUUAGACAUCAAUCCCCUAAUUAUUAUAUAAUCGGUCCCAAAGACCAAUUGAUGCUUUUUAAAGGCGGAUAUUGAGAUUUUUGAUUCUACUAAUAUCAAGACCGGAGUCUUCUAAUCGAUGGUUUGAUUAGAGCUCAAUGAACCCAAAAUUGACCUAAAAUCCUGAAUUGUCAAAUCAAUACAACAAAUGCCAGAAUCUUCCCGUCCAUAGUUUUAUUGGAGCCCAAUGGACACAGCAUUUCCCUAUUACCGAAUUGUGUCAAUUAAAGAAUUCUGGGGAUUCUCAUUCUUUUUCAAUUGCAAAUAAAACAAGAAUUAUUUAUAGUAUAUACAUUUAGCUUAUUUUCCCCAUUAUUACAUACAAGACAAUUAUUAAAUUUAUAUGUUACUUUGGUGCGCGAGCUAAGCAAAUUUGAAGCCUUAACUUUUAUAACCACCCAGAACUAUAGCAAUUUCAAAUCCCACGUCUGAAGGCCUAAGGACAUCAUGGCUAUUAGCUGCGAAACCAAGCCUACUUCCAACGGGAAAGAACCGCCCCAGGAUUGAGCACGGCCCGCGGCGAGGAGGUAGCGACUCCCAGAGGAAUUAGGGCCCAAGGUGGCGGAUCGUUACACCCUAGAGGAUUUAAUGUUUGCCCGAUUCGGCUGUAAUUUUGCAAAAAAGUUGUGCCCUCUAACAUUCAGUCACAAUGCCAUCCAAUUACAAUAGUUCCAUAAAUAAUAUAGCCCGAAAAUAAACCGCUUCCCCGAUUUUACUUAAGCGAAGUACACGUAUGCCCACCGUCGCACCAAAUUUAUUCGAAAUUUUCCAUAGACAUCUUUGCUAAAAUACUAAAUUUAGUCCAAAUGCCUUUCACUCAUACAGAGCAGAGA